CAUUAAGAGGCAGAGAUUUUUCUACUGUAUUCAGAAAAUUACAUGCUAAUAAAAUAGGAAUAUGAUUUGAGAAAUUUCUAAUACAAAUUGAUUUUUACAUUAAUGAUUUCAGUAUUCAGUUCUAGGAAAGGAGAAAGACUGGUUCUGCAUGUAGGUUAGAUAUGAAUGAAAAUAAGUGAAAAUAAGUAGGCUCACUCCUGCACCAUGCACAACCCCACAUGAGACUCUGUGGGGUCACAAUAGUGUGAUUCCUGCCUGUUGAAGAUUCACUGUCUAGCCAGAAAGAUGAUUGACAUACAUAAACCAAUUAGAGAGCAACGUGAGAUAAAACAGAAUUAAAUUAGUGCAGUGUUGUGUUUUGCAGACUGCAAGUGAUAGCUUCAUUUGGAGACCUAGGAGAACACUGGACCAAGGAAAAUGACAAUGAAACUAAAGUGGGCUCCGGCAGAAGAAGGUGCUUUCUGGAUGAAAGAGGAGAAGCUGGAAGAUGCCCGGCAAGAGGCCUCGGUCCUUCCUGGAAGACCAUGAAGUCCAGUGCAGCUAUCGGUACUCAACACCAGAAGCCCAGAGAGGAAAGAAACACCAAUGCCACACAGUAACUAACUGGAAAGCUUACUAGACUUGUGGGUAGACACAAAUGCAUAUGAGACAUUCUGGGGGGUUCUCAGAUGGAUUGGUGUAGAGGUAUUCUAAAAGGAGUUGGAGGAGAGAAAAGAAAUAGAUGAAAGGAAACAGUAAAAUCUGGGUUAUUAGUUGAAGCCCCAGACCCUUAUGUGAGGACUGAUGCUACUCUAAAUGCAUACAGUAUGUAGAUAGCUUUCUGUCUUCUUUAUGUUUACUAAAUUUUUGAAAAGUAAUUGUUUUUUAAUCAUUUCUCUAUCUUUAUAUAAACUUUUUCAAAUUGUCAUGUAUUUUCUUAUUGUAUUAUUUUAUUUACAAAUAAAAUUAUACAAUACAAAGA
rnacentral:lncRNA from 1 species